ACUCACCCUCUAGCUUUAUCCUAUGUAAGAAACCAAAAAAAGUCCUAUUGAAUACUCAUUAAUCUUAUUUGCUCUGUUUUCCUCUGUUUCUCACAAGACACAAUGGAGUACAAAGUGAAAACCACAACAUCAACACCUUCUCCACCAAUCCCAAUCCAUGUUCCCACUAUGCUGUCAAACUCUCCUCCAUCUUCAUCUUCUUCACCUCCUUCACAAUCUCCCACUCCUUUCCCUUCACCCUCUCAGGGCUCUCCCUCUGCUGCUCCACCGUCUCCGCCGCCGCCGCUGCCACCGGUGGUGGUUAGCCCUUGUGCUGCCUGCAAGAUCCUCCGCCGUAGGUGUGUGGAGAAGUGUGUGUUGGCUCCAUAUUUCCCUCCCACUGAUCCUCUCAAGUUCACCAUUGCUCAUAGAGUCUUUGGAGCCAGCAACAUCAUCAAGUUCUUGCAGGAACUGCCAGAAUCCCAGAGAGAAGAUGCUGUGAGCAGCAUGGUUUAUGAGGCAAAUGCUAGGAUCAGAGACCCAGUUUAUGGGUGUGCUGGUGCAAUAUGCCAACUUCAAAAGCAAGUUAGUGAGCUACAAGCACAGCUGGCCAAAGCACAAGCUGAGGUAGUGAACAUGCAGUGCCAACAAGCCAAUUUAGUGGCGCUUAUUUGCAUGGAAAUGAGUCAAUCACAGGAGCAGCACGUGCUUCAGCCUCAAACUCACGUUGAUAUGAGCUGCUUCAUAGAGGACAACAGUUUUGGGACUGCUUGGGAGCCUCUUUGGACAUGAUGGAAAUUAAUGAAAAAUGUUAUUCAUGUAUCUUAGAUAUUUGCAUUAAUUAGAGAGAGAGAUAAUGAAAAUUAUACUCGGGGAAUCCAAUUUCAAUAAAAGUCAUCUAAUUAGUUAUAUGGUAGAUGUGCUUGCUACCUCAUUUUGUCAUUUCAUAAGCCAAACCUUUGACAAAAAGAAAAAAGAAAAGAAGAAGAAGAAAAACAUAAUUGAUGGCGGUCUUCUCCAAUAUAAUGACUCAAGAGAGAAAAGAGGAAUAGAAGAGAAGAAAAAGAGAGAGAGAUAGGUGUUUUAGAUUGAGUCAGUCUUGACACAGGCUUAAACCAAAUUUGCCACUGUUUGUUUGGACCUCCUAAUUUUUCUUUUUCCUUUUUUUUUUAAUUUUAAAAUUAAUAA